rnacentral:SRP_RNA from 1 species
GUCGGGUGCAGUGGCGUGCGCCUGUAAUCCAAGCUGCUGGGAGGCUGAGGCUGGCGGAUCGCUUGAGUUCAGGGGUUCUGGGCUGCAGUGGACUAUGUUGAUCGGGUGUCCGCACUAAGUUCGGUAUCGAUAUGGUGGUCCUGGGGGAGCUCGGGACCACCAGAUCGUCUAAGGAGGGGUGAACCGGCCCAGGUCGGAGACGGAGCAGGUCAAAGCCCCCGUGUCGAUCAGUAGUGGGGUCGCAACUGUGAAUAGACACUGCAGUGCAGCCUGAGCGAUACAGCGAGACUCAGACUUU